GGAGUCUGGACCGUAUCUCAGUUCCAAUGUGGGGGACCUUCCUCUCAGAACCCCUAGCCAUCGUCGCCUUGGUGGGCCGUUACCCCGCCAACUAGCUAAUGGCACGCGAGCCAAUCCGGUAGCGAUAAAUCUAUUAACAGCACAUCAUGCGGUGCACUGUGUUACGGAGUAUUACACGACGUUUCCAUCGACUAUCCUCCUCUACCGGGCAUGUUGCUCACGCGUUACUCACCCUUUCGCCGGUCGCCGCCAAUGUAUUGCUACAUCGCGCUGCCCCUCGACUUGCAUGUGUUAAGCCUGCCGCUAGCGUUCAUC
rnacentral:rRNA from 1 species